UCCGUAGGCGGUGUGGCAAGUCGGUAGUGAAAUCUCUCGGCUUAACUGAGAGGCUGCUGCCGAAACUGCCAUGCUCGAGUGCGAGAGAGGCGAGUGGAAUUGCGGGUGUAGCGGUGAAAUGCGUAGAUAUCCGCAGGAACAUCCGAGGCGAAAGCGGCUCGCUGGAUCGCAACUGACGCUGAGGGACGAAAGCUAGGGGAGCAAACAGGAUUAGAUACCCUGGCAGUCCUAGCCCUAAACCAUCAGGACUUGGGGUUUGCCCUGUACGGGGCAAGUCCCGGAGCUAACGCGUUAAGUCCUGCGCCUGGGGAGUACGGUCGCAAGGCUGAA
rnacentral:rRNA from 1 species